ACAAGUCCGGUCCUAUAUUUGCAACGAG
rnacentral:sRNA from 1 species